rnacentral:misc_RNA from 1 species
CACCAAUCUCCCAUGUUAUCUAAGCACUCCUUGGAUUGUUUAAUAACUAAAUCAGGACCCUCGACUGACUUUGUUAGUUUGCCAUCCGUUAUAACACAGGCAAUUUCCAAAAUACGAUCAACUCCAACAUCCAAACCCGUCAUUUCCAAGUCAAUCCACACAAGAGGCAUUCUAUACUCCUCUGAAUGUGUCAAAUUAUUUUUCUGAAGGUUUUCAUCAACUUUCAAG